rnacentral:tRNA from 1 species
GAUGAUUUUUUGGGUAAGUUUUCUAAACUUAUUUUGGUGAGAGCCGGUCAUUU